rnacentral:rRNA from 1 species
UUUAUGGAGAGUUUGAUCCUGGCUCAGGAUGAACGCUGGCGGCGUGCCUAAUACAUGCAAGUCGAGCGAACGGACGAGAAGCUUGCUUCUCUGAUGUUAGCGGCGGACGGGUGAGUAACACGUGGAUAACCUACCUAUAAGACUGGGAUAACUUCGGGAAACCGGAGCUAAUACCGGAUAAUAUUUUGAACCGCAUGGUUCAAAAGUGAAAGACGGUCUUGCUGUCACUUAUAGAUGGAUCCGCGCUGCAUUAGCUAGUUGGUAAGGUAACGGCUAACCAAGGCAACGAUGCAUAGCCGACCUGAGAGGGUGAUCGGCCACACUGGAACUGAGACACGGUCCAGACUCCUACGGGAGGCAGCAGUAGGGAAUCUUCCGCAAUGGGCGAAAGCCUGACGGAGCAACGCCGCGUGAGUGAUGAAGGUCUUCGGAUCGUAAAACUCUGUUAUUAGGGAAGAACAUAUGUGUAAGUAACUGUGCACAUCUUGACGGUACCUAAUCAGAAAGCCACGGCUAACUACGUGCCAGCAGCCGCGGUAAUACGUAGGUGGCAAGCGUUAUCCGGAAUUAUUGGGCGUAAAGCGCGCGUAGGCGGUUUUUUAAGUCUGAUGUGAAAGCCCACGGCUCAACCGUGGAGGGUCAUUGGAAACUGGAAAACUUGAGUGCAGAAGAGGAAAGUGGAAUUCCAUGUGUAGCGGUGAAAUGCGCAGAGAUAUGGAGGAACACCAGUGGCGAAGGCGACUUUCUGGUCUGUAACUGACGCUGAUGUGCGAAAGCGUGGGGAUCAAACAGGAUUAGAUACCCUGGUAGUCCACGCCGUAAACGAUGAGUGCUAAGUGUUAGGGGGUUUCCGCCCCUUAGUGCUGCAGCUAACGCAUUAAGCACUCCGCCUGGGGAGUACGACCGCAAGGUUGAAACUCAAAGGAAUUGACGGGGACCCGCACAAGCGGUGGAGCAUGUGGUUUAAUUCGAAGCAACGCGAAGAACCUUACCAAAUCUUGACAUCCUUUGACAACUCUAGAGAUAGAGCCUUCCCCUUCGGGGGACAAAGUGACAGGUGGUGCAUGGUUGUCGUCAGCUCGUGUCGUGAGAUGUUGGGUUAAGUCCCGCAACGAGCGCAACCCUUAAGCUUAGUUGCCAUCAUUAAGUUGGGCACUCUAAGUUGACUGCCGGUGACAAACCGGAGGAAGGUGGGGAUGACGUCAAAUCAUCAUGCCCCUUAUGAUUUGGGCUACACACGUGCUACCAUGGACAAUACAAAGGGCAGCGAAACCGCGAGGUCAAGCAAAUCCCAUAAAGUUGUUCUCAGUUCGGAUUGUAGUCUGCAACUCGACUACAUGAAGCUGGAAUCGCUAGUAAUCGUAGAUCAGCAUGCUACGGUGAAUACGUUCCCGGGUCUUGUACACACCGCCCGUCACACCACGAGAGUUUGUAACACCCGAAGCCGGUGGAGUAACCUUUUAGGAGCUAGCCGUCGAAGGUGGGACAAAUGAUUGGGGUGAAGUCGUAACAAGGUAGCCGUAUCGGAAGGUGCGGCUGGAUCACCUCCUUU